rnacentral:rRNA from 1 species
GACUAACGCUGGCGGCGCGCCUAAUACAUGCAAGUCGAGCGAGAAGACGUAGCAAUACGUUUGUAAAGCGGCGAACGGGUGAGGAAUACAUGGGUAACCUACCCUAGAGUGGGGAAUAACUAGCCGAAAGGUUAGCUAAUACCGCGUACGCUCCUUGGACUUCGGUUCAGGGAGGAAAGCGAUGCCGAGGGUAUCGCGCUCUUGGAUGGGCUCAUGUCCUAUCAGCUUGUUGGNGAGGUAACGGCGUCACCAAGGCUUCGACGGGUAGCUGGUCUGAGAGGACGAUCAGCCACACUGGCACUGCGACACGGGCCAGACUCCUACGGGAGGCAGCAGUAAGGAAUAUUGCGCAAUGGGCGAAAGCCUGACGCAGCGACGCCGCGUGGGGGAUGAAGGUCCU